rnacentral:rRNA from 1 species
GACUACAGGGGUAUCUAAUCCUGUUUGAUCCCCACGCUUUCGUGCCUCAGUGUCAAUAUUCGAGUAGCCAGCUGCCUUCGCAAUUGGUGUUCUAUGUCAUAUCUAAGCAUUUCACCGCUACAUGACAUAUUCCGCUGACCUCCACGGUAUUCAAGACUGAUAGUAUCAAUGGCAGUUUCCAAGUUAAGCUCGGAGAUUUCACCACUGACUUACCAACCCACCUACGCACCCUUUAAACCCAGUGAAUCCGGAUAACGCUUGCACCCUCCGUAUUACCGCGGCUGCUGGCACGGAGUUAGCCGGUGCUUAUUCAUAUGGUACCGUCAGACGACCUAGAAAAGCCUUUUUUCGUCCCAUAUAAAAGAAGUUUACAACCCAGAGGGCCUUCAUCCUCCACGCGGCAUGGCUGGUUCAGACUUUCGUCCAUUGACCAAUAUUCCUUACUGCAGCCCCCCGUAGG